UGCUCUUAUCCCUCACCAUCGAUCCCCUUAUCCCUCCUCCGCACCCUCACCGUCCCGGCGAUGCCUCGUUCCUCCACCUCCCCACCUGCGCCCUUUCUCUUACCCAGAAAUCCGGAAUCUCCUCAACCUCGUCCACUACCACUUUAAUGGCACCUCUCCCUCGUCUCCUACAAGCUGCAAUCACAGUGGCAUCUUGGGCGCGCACAGAUCUGACGCAGAACUCAACCCCGACGUCGGCCUUGUGGAAGUGGAGCGGCCAUGCGGUGGAAGGCGGUCUAGUGCGACGGCUGGAAGCACCAGCGAACCCUAGUCGCCACUGGUUACCAGCGCGGCUCCCACCUCUCCCGUUGGCUUCCUCAACAUCGUGGCCUUGUGCUGCCACGCGACCCCUUCCAAAUUCUUUUGCCGCUUCCGGCUGACGUUGUGGUCGUGGAUUCCUACAGAGGAAAGGUCGCCCGGUUCCUCUAGUUUACGGACGCCCUUACAAUGCAUAGAUGUGCCUGGUUUCCACCAUCGUGAGGCAUCGCAGCCCCACCCCAUGGUCCCUGAACCGAAGGAGAGAUCAUGUAGAAGCCAUGCCACAGCUGGCUUGAUGUGCAGGAACAAGCUUGAUGCGUCUACCUGCCGACGGGCGGACGUGUUGUGCACCCAUCAUCACCCAUCGUCUGAUACACAGUAUGACCUGAUGCAUGUACAACCUUUUGCUGAAUCUGGUAUCCUUUGAUUAUUAUAAUCCUGAUGCUAAAGGGUGCGUGGCUAUGUGUGUUUCAAAUGCAAUGCUAAUAUACAUGCACAUAGAGGAGAUGAAGAAAGUAAAGUGUUGAUUUGACCAGGCUCUCCGUGAGUGGUGCGCUGAUUUGAUUGGUUGACAUUGGCAACGAAACAUUGAAACCAUUCAUUCUACGAAUUGCACAUCAUGAUUUCAGUUACACUGUACUGCUCGAUUCAUGCAAGUAAAGGUUAGGUAUGAUCCAUGCAUAUCAAUCUUUAAAACUCACAUGUCUGCUUCAUGUAACAGUACCAGCCCAUGAUAGCAUAGUGGACUGUAACUCUCCAGGAUGUCAGAUCCUCAGAGUUGGUUUAUGCUAGAAGCUUACACUUUGCUGGAGUUGAAGACAUCAAGAGAAAUUGGGAAUCUGUUGGUAAGGAAACAUUCUUUUUAUCUUUCACUAGACAACACCGCAAACGAGUACACUUUUUUGAUAUCUACCUUUUCUUGUUAUCAAUAUUGUUUUUUUAGACUUGUGAUGUUAAUCAGUCUCGUGUCGUUAAGAUCUAUAAGCAAUUGUCAAAUAAGAAUGAACAAAAAAUGCCUACACAUAUUACCUUGCUACCAAACAUAUGAAAAGGAAUAUAAAAAAUCCAUUUGGUUGUUUGUCUUGUGUGUUGGUUUUUUUCUCUCCAUAAAAUUGGUCGUCAAACAUGUGUGUCAAUCCAACAAAUAUAUGAAUUUGUGGUACCAUAAUAUUAAUAAAAUAUGUUGCUGCACAUCAAAAUGUCUGAAUCUGUUGAGUAAUUGAGGGUUGAAGAGAGGAAAGGAGAGGGAGAGAGGGAAGUUUACGUGACACAAUUGAAAAUGGUAGACAUGCCUUGUCAAGAUAAGCACAUUGUGAAAUAUGCCAGCUGGAUGGUUAUGUGUUCUAAAUUCAAAGUGUGUGUGAAUGGGCGAGGAAAGGGAACUGAUAACAUGGAUCUGUAUGACUGAGAUAGUGUGGAGAGGAAGAUUUUUUUUACAAUUCGUCCUAAUGUGCAUCAGGAUCCUAAAAAUAUAUGUUAGACAAGAUUGGUGUUGAACAACUGGAAGAUGUAUGAACAACUAGAAUAUGUAUAUAUAUGCAGAGGCCGGGGAUCCCCCCCUUUUCGAAAAAAAAUAUAAUGUUCUUUUAAAUAUGCUAGGUAUGAUUGGGUAGUGGGCUACAUAGUGCUACCCACCAUAAUCCUCGCCAUGACAUGAUAGUUGCCAUCAGGAGAAUCGAUGAAGAACCUGAACAGCAGCCUCAAAAGUUUGUAUGUUUUGUUGAUGUAAACUGGAUUGUAGUGCUUCUUAACCUUCUUCAAUGAUAUAUUUAGUGAAUCUAUGUUGUAAGUUAUCAUUAGAUGAAGGAUUUGUAAACUACUAUGUUGUAUAUACAAACAAAUUUUUUUGAGAAAAUAUAUAAAUACUGAUGGCUGCA